CUUGCUUCUCUUGAGAGCGGCGGACGGGUGAGUAAUGCCUAGGAAUCUGCCUGGUAGUGGGGGAUAACGUCCGGAAACGGACGCUAAUACCGCAUACGUCCUACGGGAGAAAGCAGGGGACCUUCGGGCCUUGCGCUAUCAGAUGAGCCUAGGUCGGAUUAGCUAGUUGGUGGGGUAAUGGCUCACCAAGGCGACGAUCCGUAACUGGUCUGAGAGGAUGAUCAGUCACACUGGAACUGAGACACGGUCCAGACUCCUACGGGAGGCAGCAGUGGGGAAUAUUGGACAAUGGGCGAAAGCCUGAUCCAGCCAUGCCGCGUGUGUGAAGAAGGUCUUCGGAUUGUAAAGCACUUUAAGUUGGGAGGAAGGGCAGUAAAUUAAUACUUUGCUGUUUUGACGUUACCGACAGAAUAAGCACCGGCUAACUCUGUGCCAGCAGCCGCGGUAAUACAGAGGGUGCAAGCGUUAAUCGGAAUUACUGGGCGUAAAGCGCGCGUAGGUGGUUCGUUAAGUUGGAUGUGAAAUCCCCGGGCUCAACCUGGGAACUGCAUUCAAAACUGACGAGCUAGAGUAUGGUAGAGGGUGGUGGAAUUUCCUGUGUAGCGGUGAAAUGCGUAGAUAUAGGAAGGAACACCAGUGGCGAAGGCGACCACCUGGACUGAUACUGACACUGA
rnacentral:rRNA from 1 species